UGCAACGAUGAAGAACGCAGCGAAAUGCGAUACGUAGUGUGAAUUGCAGAAUUCCGCGAAUCAUCGAGUCUUUGAACGCAAGUUGCGCCCGAGGCUUGCCCUCGGACAUCUCUGCCAGAGCGUCACCGCGAACAC
rnacentral:rRNA from 1 species